GGGACACGUGGUAUCCUGUCUGAAUAUGGGGGGACCAUCCUCCAAGGCUAAAUACUCCUGACUGACCGAUAGUGAACCAGUACCGUGAGGGAAAGGCGAAAAGAACCCCGGCGAGGGGAGUGAAAAAGAACCUGAAACCGUGUACGUACAAGCAGUGGGAGCCUCUUUUAUGGGGUGACUGCGUACCUUUUGUAUAAUGGGUCAGCGACUUAUAUUCUGUAGCAAGGUUAACCGAAUAGGGGAGCCGAAGGGAAACCGAGUCUUAACUGGGCGUUAAGUUGCAGGGUAUAGACCCGAAACCCGGUGAUCUAGCCAUGGGCAGGUUGAAGGUUGGGUAACACUAACUGGAGGACCGAACCGACUAAUGUUGAAAAAUUAGCGGAUGACUUGUGGCUGGGGGUGAAAGGCCAAUCAAACCGGGAGAUAGCUGGUUCUCCCCGAAAGCUAUUUAGGUAGCGCCUCGUGAAUUCAUCUCCGGGGGUAGAGCACUGUUUCGGCAAGGGGGUCAUCCCGACUUACCAACCCGAUGCAAACUGCGAAUACCGGAGAAUGUUAUCACGGGAGACACACGGCGGGUGCUAACGUCCGUCGUGAAGAGGGAAACAACCCAGACCGCCAGCUAAGGUCCCAAAGUCAUGGUUAAGUGGGAAACGAUGUGGGAAGGCCCAGACAGCCAGGAUGUUGGCUUAGAAGCAGCCAUCAUUUAAAGAAAGCGUAAUAGCUCACUGGUCGAGUCGGCCUGCGCGGAAGAUGUAACGGGGCUAAACCAUGCACCGAAGCUGCGGCAGCGACACUAUGUGUUGUUGGGUAGGGGAGCGUUCUGUAAGCCUGUGAAGGUGUACUGUGAGGUAUGCUGGAGGUAUCAGAAGUGCGAAUGCUGACAUAAGUAACGAUAAAGCGGGUGAAAAGCCCGCUCGCCGGAAGACCAAGGGUUCCUGUCCAACGUUAAUCGGGGCAGGGUGAGUCGACCCCUAAGGCGAGGCCGAAAGGCGUAGUCGAUGGGAAACAGGUUAAUAUUCCUGUACUUGGUGUUACUGCGAAGGGGGGACGGAGAAGGCUAUGUUGGCCGGGCGACGGUUGUCCCGGUUUAAGCGUGUAGGCUGGUUUUCCAGGCAAAUCCGGAAAAUCAAGGCUGAGGCGUGAUGACGAGGCACUACGGUGCUGAAGCAACAAAUGCCCUGCUUCCAGGAAAAGCCUCUAAGCAUCAGGUAACAUCAAAUCGUACCCCAAACCGACACAGGUGGUCAGGUAGAGAAUACCAAGGCGCUUGAGAGAACUCGGGUGAAGGAACUAGGCAAAAUGGUGCCGUAACUUCGGGAGAAGGCACGCUGAUAUGUAGGUGAAGCGACUUGCUCGUGGAGCUGAAAUCAGUCGAAGAUACCAGCUGGCUGCAACUGUUUAUUAAAAACACAGCACUGUGCAAACACGAAAGUGGACGUAUACGGUGUGACGCCUGCCCGGUGCCGGAAGGUUAAUUGAUGGGGUCAGCGCAAGCGAAGCUCUUGAUCGAAGCCCCGGUAAACGGCGGCCGUAACUAUAACGGUCCUAAGGUAGCGAAAUUCCUUGUCGGGUAAGUUCCGACCUGCACGAAUGGCGUAAUGAUGGCCAGGCUGUCUCCACCCGAGACUCAGUGAAAUUGAACUCGCUGUGAAGAUGCAGUGUACCCGCGGCAAGACGGAAAGACCCCGUGAACCUUUACUAUAGCUUGACACUGAACAUUGAGCCUUGAUGUGUAGGAUAGGUGGGAGGCUUAGAAGUGUGGACGCCAGUCUGCAUGGAGCCGACCUUGAAAUACCACCCUUUAAUGUUUGAUGUUCUAACGUGGACCCGUGAUCCGGGUUGCGGACAGUGUCUGGUGGGUAGUUUGACUGGGGCGGUCUCCUCCUAAAGAGUAACGGAGGAGCACGAAGGUUGGCUAAUCCUGGUCGGACAUCAGGAGGUUAGUGCAAUGGCAUAAGCCAGCUUGACUGCGAGCGUGACGGCGCGAGCAGGUGCGAAAGCAGGUCAUAGUGAUCCGGUGGUUCUGAAUGGAAGGGCCAUCGCUCAACGGAUAAAAGGUACUCCGGGGAUAACAGGCUGAUACCGCCCAAGAGUUCAUAUCGACGGCGGUGUUUGGCACCUCGAUGUCGGCUCAUCACAUCCUGGGGCUGAAGUAGGUCCCAAGGGUAUGGCUGUUCGCCAUUUAAAGUGGUACGCGAGCUGGGUUUAGAACGUCGUGAGACAGUUCGGUCCCUAUCUGCCGUGGGCGCUGGAGAACUGAGGGGGGCUGCUCCUAGUACGAGAGGACCGGAGUGGACGCAUCACUGGUGUUCGGGUUGUCAUGCCAAUGGCACUGCCCGGUAGCUAAAUGCGGAAGAGAUAAGUGCUGAAAGCAUCUAAGCACGAAACUUGCC
rnacentral:rRNA from 1 species